UUAGUUCGUGGAGUGAUCUGUCUGCUUAAUUGCGUUUCAAAAUUUAACUUGAGGACCGGGUUUUGGUUUGGCUAGUGGUUCUACGAUGACUGUGAACUGUCAUGUCUUCGGAUGUACGACUAUCGGUCUAGGAUCACAUGACUUGCCCCUGGGACUCUUUUGAACGCAACGGACGUGAUUGCAACCCCUUGUUGAGAUUAGAGAUAGUCUCGAUAUUCACUGGCCAAACUGGCUGCUUUAUGCAGUCUUGUUGAAUGGUGGAUAAACUCGGGGGACUGCUGACUAUAACCAUUUCUCAAAACAGAGGAAGGUUGCGGCAAUAACAGGUCUGUGAUGC
rnacentral:rRNA from 1 species